GCCUGGGGGGGCUCAGUCGGUUGAGCGUCCGACUUCGGCUCAGGUCAUGAUCUCGCGGUUCGUGGGUUCGAGCCCCACGUCAGGCU
rnacentral:tRNA from 1 species